rnacentral:rRNA from 1 species
CUGGCUCAGGAUGAACGCUGGCGGUAUGCUUAACACAUGCAAGUCGAACGAAGUCUUCGGACUUAGUGGCGGACGGGUGAGUAACGCGUGAGAAUCUGGCUCUAGGUCGGGGACAACCACUGGAAACGGUGGCUAAUACCGGAUGUGCCGAAAGGUGAAAGAUUAAUUGCCUAGAGAUGAGCUCGCGUCUGAUUAGCUAGUAGGUGUGGUAAGAGCGCACCUAGGCGACGAUCAGUAGCUGGUCUGAGAGGAUGAUCAGCCACACUGGGACUGAGACACGGCCCAGACUCCUACGGGAGGCAGCAGUGGGGAAUUUUCCGCAAUGGGCGAAAGCCUGACGGAGCAAUACCGCGUGAGGGAGGAAGGCUCUUGGGUUGUAAACCUCUUUUCUCAGGGAAGAAAAAAAAUGACGGUACCUGAGGAAUAAGCAUCGGCUAACUCCGUGCCAGCAGCCGCGGUAAUACGGAGGAUGCAAGCGUUAUCCGGAAUGAUUGGGCGUAAAGCGUCCGCAGGUGGCUAUGUAAGUCUGCUGUUAAAGAGUGAGGCUCAACCUCAUAAAAGCAGUGGAAACUACAUAGCUAGAGUGCGUUCGGGGCAGAGGGAAUUCCUGGUGUAGCGGUGAAAUGCGUAGAGAUCAGGAAGAACACCGGUGGCGAAAGCGCUCUGCUAGGCCGCAACUGACACUGAGGGACGAAAGCUAGGGGAGCGAAUGGGAUUAGAUACCCCAGUAGUCCUAGCCGUAAACGAUGGAUACUAGGCGUGGCUUGUAUCGACCCGAGCCGUGCCGUAGCUAACGCGUUAAGUAUCCCGCCUGGGGAGUACGCAC